UCUUUCCUAUGCAUCUUGCUCCCUGCUAAUCGAUCCUCUUCUUAUUCAUCGUUAUCAUCAUUCAUGUUAUGUUUUCAGUCCUUAAUAUACAACUCCUUACCUUCUAUUACAUUUCGUCUUAACGAUCUUCUCAUGGUUUACGAUCAUAUUCUUUAUUCAUUUUUCUACACCUUAUAUGUUACUGUCUAACACUCAUCUUAAGUUCUUUAACUACUUUGGUUCAUUCGCUCUUUCACUCAACAAUAUUCUUAGACUCAUUAUUGGUUUAAGGAGAUCAUAUUUCAACUCAUUAGUUAUUCGGAAAAGAACCUACUUCACAUCCCAUAUUAUCAUCGUCUUAUACCCUUUUUACUAAAUCGUGUGUUUUUAGUCUCACCACAUACCCACACUAUUUGCUCUAGUAAAUUCUCGUCUUAUUACCCUUAAUCAACUUGAUAUCCUUUCUCA
rnacentral:lncRNA from 1 species